rnacentral:misc_RNA from 1 species
GGAAGGAUCAUUAAAAAUGAGCCAACAAACCACCGUGAACACGCGGCCUCAGCGCCGAAAAAACACUUUUAUACAGCGUCAAUUAUAUAAUAAUAAAAACAACUUUUAGCAACGGAUCUCUAGGUUCUCGCAACGAUGAAGAACGCAGCGAAUUGCGAAAAGUAAUGUGAAUUGCAUAAUUCCGUGAAUCAUCAAAUCUUUGAACGCACCUUGCGCUAGCUGGAAUUCCGGCUAGCAUGCCUGUUUGAGUAUCAGAAAAGAAAAUCACCCUAAGGUGGAUGUGGGCAGCGUAUUCUACCUGCCUUAAUUUCAUGUGUGCAUAAUAUGUGCCAAUAGAGCCAGUCCCUCGGGAAUGUCUAUUAGCAUGUAGUAAACCACUCAAACCUAACCCAAAAUGAUCUCAAAUCAAGCAAGAUAACCCGCUGAACUUAAGCAUAUUAAUAAGCGGAGGAAAAGAAACUAACAAGGAUUCCCCUAGUAACGGCGAGUGAAGCGGGAACAGCUCAAAUUUAAAAUCUCCUCGGAGAAUUGUAGUUUAUGAAAGCGCUAUCGAUGGAGGCCUGGGUACAAGUUCUUUGGAACAAGACAUCAUAGAGGGUGAGAAUCCCGUCUUUGAUCCGGGUACCUUCACACUACGAAGCGUCUUUUAAGAGUCGGGUUGUUUGGGAUUGCAGCCCUAAAUUGGUGGUAUAUUCCAUCUAAAGCUAAAUAUUGGCGAGAGACCGAUAGCGAACAAGUACCGUGAGGGAAAGAUGAAAAGAACUUUGAAAAGAGAGUUAAAAGUACGUGAAAUUGCUAAAAGGGAAACAUUUGACACCAGUAUUUGGGAGUCGGAAAUCAGCCUCUUUGGGGGUGCACUUUCCUUCUACCAGGUCAACAUCAGUUUCGGCUGCCGUAAAAAAGCCAAGAGAAGGUAGGUGUUAACGCACUGUUAUAGCUCUGGCCGAUGCGGUUGGCGGGACUGAGGACUGCGGCGCAUGCCUUUGGCUGGGUUCGCGGUGGCUGUGUGGGAAGUUGUUAUGGACAGCUUGCUGACCCUAACACCUCUCUCAUGCACUCUGCCGUACAACCACAAAUGCGCCUAGGAUGUUGACGAAAUGGUGCUAAAUGACCCGUCUUGAAACACGGACCAAGGAGUCUAACAUAUAUGCGAGUAUUUGGGUGGCAAACCCAUAUGCGUAAUGAAAGUGAACGUAGGUGUGAGGGGCAACCCGCAACAUCGACCGAUCUUGAUUUUUAAUGAUAGAUUUGAGUAUGAGCAUACAUGUUGGGACCCGAAAGAUGGUGAACUAUACCUGAUUAGGCCGAAGCCAGAGGAAACUCUGGUGGAGGGUCGUAGCGAUUCUGACGUGCAAAUCGAUCGUCAAAAUUGGGUAUAGGGGCGAAAGACUAAUCGAACCGUCUAAUGGCUGGUUCCCUC